CCUACGGGAGGCAGCAGUGAGGAAUAUUGGUCAAUGGACGAGAGUCUGAACCAGCCAAGUAGCGUGAAGGAUGACUGCCCUAUGGGUUGUAAACUUCUUUUAUAUGGGAAUAAAAUGUUCCACGUGUGGGAUUUUGUAUGUACCAUAUGAAUAAGGAUCGGCUAACUCCGUGCCAGCAGCCGCGGUAAUACGGAGGAUCCGAGCGUUAUCCGGAUUUAUUGGGUUUAAAGGGAGCGUAGGUGGAUUGUUAAGUCAGUUGUGAAAGUUUGCGGCUCAACCGUAAAAUUGCAGUUGAAACUGGAAGUCUUGAGUACAGUAGAGGUGGGCGGAAUUCGUGGUGUAGCGGUGAAAUGCUUAGAUAUCACGAAGAACUCCGAUUGCGAAGGCAGCUCACUGGACUGCAACUGACACUGAGGCUCGAAAGUGUGGGUAUCAAACAGGAUUAGAUACCCCAGUC
rnacentral:rRNA from 1 species